GGGCUAACAUGGAAUCCAACGGUAACAGGAAGAAGCUUGCUCUUUGCUGACGAGUGGCGGACGGGUGAGUAAUGUCUGGGAAACUGCCUGAUGGAGGGGGAUAACUACUGGAAACGGUAGCUAAUACCGCAUAACGUCGCAAGACCAAAGAGGGGGACCUUCGGGCCUCUUGCCAUCGGAUGUGCCCAGAUGGGAUUAGCUAGUAGGUGGGGUAACGGCUCACCUAGGCGACGAUCCCUAGCUGGUCUGAGAGGAUGACCAGCCACACUGGAACUGAGACACGGUCCAGACUCCUACGGGAGGCAGCAGUGGGGAAUAUUGCACAAUGGGCGCAAGCCUGAUGCAGCCAUGCCGCGUGUAUGAAGAAGGCCUUCGGGUUGUAAAGUACUUUCAGCGGGGAGGAAGGGAGUAAAGUUAAUACCUUUGCUCAUUGACGUUACCCGCAAAAAAAGCACCGGCUAACUCCGUGCCAGCAGCCGCGGUAAUACGGAGGGUGCAAGCGUUAAUCGGAAUUACGGGGCGUAAAGCGCACGCAGGCGGUUUGUUAAGUCAGAUGUGAAAUCCCCGGGCUCAACCUGGGAACUGCAUCUGAUACUGGCAAGCUUGAGUCUCGUAGAGGGGGGUAGAAUUCCAGGUGUAGCGGUGAAAUGCGUAGAGAUCUGGGGAAUACCGGUGGCGAAGGCGGCCCCCUGGACAAAACUGACGCUCAGUGCGAAAGCGUGGGAACAAACAGGAUUAUAUACCUGUAGUCCACCCCGUAAACAUGUCCACUUGGAAGUUGUGCCCUUGGAGUGGCUUUCGAGAACCUUUAAUCUACCCCU
rnacentral:rRNA from 1 species